AGAAGCAAUUCCAGGGACCAUUGUUUUAUUUUAGUAAGGAAGUGAUAAGACCUUAUUAUACUGGCUGGGUUCUGCAGAAAGGAUCAAAAUGGGAGGAAGAACUUAAUCAGCAUAUCCUUAUUAGCCACCAGGCGGGCUUUGCUGUAAAGAUUUACGAUUCUCUGAGUGGGUCAAGGAAUAUUGAUUUUUCAGUUUCAGAUCAGAAAAAGCUGAGUAUUGAACAUAUUGCUAUUGCCUACUUGAUUCUUGGGAUUGGAUAUUUCGUAUCUCUUC